AACGUAGGAGCCAAGCGUUAUCCGAAUUCACUGGGCGUAAAGCGCGUGCAGGCGGCCUGGUAAGUUGGAUGUGAAAUCUCCUGGCUCAACUGGGAGAGGCCGUUCAAUACUGCUGGGCUAGAGGGCGACAGAGGGAGGUGGAAUUCCGGGUGUAGUGGUGAAAUGCGUAGAUAUCCGGAGGAACACCAGAGGCGAAGGCGACCUCCUGGGUCGCACCUGACGCUCAGACGCGAAAGCUAGGGGAGCGAACGGG
rnacentral:rRNA from 1 species